rnacentral:rRNA from 1 species
UGAGGAAUUUUGCGCAAUGGCCGCAAGGCUGACGCAGCAACGCCGCGUGGGUGAAGAAGGCCUUCGGGUCGUAAAGCCCUGUCAGGUGGGAAGAAUAUCCCUGUGGUGAAUAAUUACGGGGACUGACGGUACCACCAGAGGAAGCACCGGCUAACUCCGUGCCAGCAGCCGCGGUAAUACGGAGGGUGCAAGCGUUAUUCGGAAUUACUGGGCGUAAGGCGCGUGCAGGCGGGCGAGCAAGUCUGAUGUGAAAGCCCCGGGCUUAACCUGGGAAGUGCAGUGGAAACGG